ensembl:lncRNA novel transcript, antisense to FAM178B
AGGUCCCUGGUGACGGAGCAGCUUGGCUGGAGUGCCUGGUGCCCCAAGAGGUGUCUCCUCAGCUCCUGGCCCUUUAGGUCCUUCAGACAUCCCACCUGAGAGGGAGCCGCGUCCUCUCCAGCCAUGUCCCCCUCCUGGCGAUCAUGGCCUGACCGCCGCCCACCUUCACGCUGCUGUCUGCCUCCCAGCUCCAGCCCAGGCUCCGGAUGCGACCUUCAUCUUGCCUCUUGUUCCUUCCUCCAGGUUUGGUGCCCUUCUGAAAUCUCCAGGUUGACUGGGCCUUGACUGCCUCCUUCCAGACCUUCUGGCCUCACCCGCCCACAGUGAGAGCUCUCUGUGACACUCUGAGCUCCGAAGAAUCCAACCUGCCCGAGGGUGGGCAGGAUUCAGCCAUGAGUGAAAGAGAACUGGGGGAGGAAGCUUGGAGCUGCGGCAGGAGCUCGAGGGAGAUGUGGGUGGAGACAGAACGGCUGUUUUAAGGUACCAUAUAAUACUCCGUAGCACGGGCAGAACUGAAUCGAUGGUGGGGCACUGAGGCAAUUUCCAGUUCUUCACUAUCAUGACAUUGCUAUGCCAAACAUCCUUGUCAAUGAAUCUUUGCCAUCUAGUUCCCCAGAAAACGAUCUAGCUUUUUGAAGGGUGUGCACAUUUUAAAGUCAUUUGCUUGAUUUUGCCAAACUGGCCUCCAGAGGGACUACUGACCGCAUCUCAUGAGCAGGGAAGCAUAUGCCUGUUUCCUCACAUCCUGCCAACACUGGGCAGCACUGUCCUUUCGGAUUGAUUCUGGUCUGCCAGGCAAGGAACUCUACGUCAUUGUCAGGGCUGGUUUCGUGAGCCGUUUUACGCAGGCUUUGUCCAUUCCUCCAUCUGACCAGGCAGCCUGCGGGAGCUGGCUUCAUCUGACCUUCUGCUUUGAAGCAGCGCACACAGGAUGUUUAAUGAAUAGCCGCAGGCAGUGAAGGAAGAGGAUCCCCAGAGCCUGGGACAUCAGCUUUCAGUAGAGUGCAAGCAGUUGCAGGAGCCCUGAACAGAAGUGGGGAUGGCAUGCUGCUCUUCCCAAAGCUGCCUGAGCUGCCCCAAUGGCGCCACCUCCCAAGGUGGAUGUUCCUCCAAGAACCUCCUCUUCCCCUUGGCUCUGUUUCAGGUGGUCUGCCUUAGUAUUCACUUUCAUUUUUCAUGGUUAGGCCCAGCUCUUCCUUACAUUUGCAGUGCAUCCCAUGAAGUCUUGAACGCUGAGGCAGGGGCUGCGGGUGUACUGCAUGAGUGUCAGCAGGAGUUCUCGCUUUGUGCUUAACCAGUCAGUCGAGCAGACAAAGAGUGUGACAGCCCUUCGUACACCAAUCUGCCCUUCUUCCUGGGGUCAGUCUGGGCACAGAGCCCAGUGGGGCAGCCACCAGUGAAGGCAGCCAGUAAGCUCUGUGGCCGCCGCGGGAAGCACAGUGGAGCAGCAGCUCACUGAAGACCCACAGUGAGUACAACGCGGCAGGAAAAAAGAAUUAGGAGCCCUUUACAACCCAAUCAGGGAUGACGGCCAGAACACACCCUGAAGAGCAAAGAAGGUGCGGAAACGGCGGGUACGUGCACACGCAGACAGAGGCUGGCGGCCAGCCAGGUGGCUCUGGCUCAGGGGAAGAAGCGCAUUUUCAACAUCAAAUUUGAAAGGAGUACUUUCAAAAAGGUACUCCUUGGUACCUUACGAAUUUUGUUUUAUUUGAAUGCUUUUAUCUAUUUAGAAAAAUAAAA